UACGUAGGCAGCGAGCGUUGUUCGGAGUUACUGGGCGUAAAGGGUGUGUAGGCGGUUGUUUAAGUUUGGUGUGAAAUCUCCCGGCUCAACUGGGAGGGUGCGCCGAAUACUGAAUGACUUCGAGUGCGGGAGAGGAAAGUGGAAUUCCUGGUGUAGCGGUGAAAUGCGUAGAUAUCGAGAGGAACACCGGUGGCGAAGGCGGCUUUCUGGACGGUUACUGACGCUGAGACGCGAAAGCGUGGGGAGCAAACAGG
rnacentral:rRNA from 1 species